rnacentral:tRNA from 1 species
GCCGAGAUAGCUCAGUUGGUAGAGCUACAGUUUUGUAAACUGUGGGUCGCAGGUUCGAGUCCUGUUCUCGGCUCCA